UCAUUGUUCCCCAGGGAGGCCUUGAAAC
rnacentral:piRNA from 1 species